rnacentral:lncRNA from 10 species
CACAUAUCACAAGGAUAUUUACAGAGCGGACAGCUGGAAUAGCUGUAGGAACGUCAAGACUAAUUGACAUUAGGAGUGCAUAGGUCCUGAGCAUCUGCACGUGGUGCCACUGGGUCGCCAGAAGAACAGCGCACUUCAGGGGCACGGAGUCGGGUUGAAGGGUCUGCACACCAGUGCUUGCAGUGUGAGCAGCAAGAGAUCCAGCUCACAGAACCAAACCUGCCGCGAUCCAUGUGACACUGGCAUACUGCAGUAUUGUCCACUGGAAACACGAGUUCAAGUGCCUCAGGGAGAUUCAGGAGGAGGAACCCAGCCCACCCACACUGCACAUCCUUUGCAGUCCGAAGGCAAAGGAUGCUCUGCAGAGCAGCUUGGUUUAGGAGUGACCUGCGGUAGCAGAGGGUGUGACAAGCAGACCCCUCGACCUCCUUCAGCUACCUGUUCACACACGACUCAGCUCAUCAUGGACUCUGAGUACGUCCUAUGCUCUUGGAAAGGCCGCCUAUGGCCAGCAAAGGUUUUGUGUACACGUGGGACUUCACCAAAAACGAAGCCCCAAAAGGCGAUUUCUCUAGAAGUUCAAAUCCUCGCCGUAGAUGAAAAAAUCAAGGUGAAAAGCACAGACGUGAAGACCCCAAGUAAGUCUGAAAUGGAAGACAUUGCCGCCUCUGCAGCGGCACAGACGAAGCUCAGUGCCCCACUCAGAGAGAAGAUGGGGUACAGAGGAACCCUUCAGGUGGCCCUGGAGAUUCUGAACGAGAGAACAAAUCUGGGUGGAGGAAGGAAACCACAUGAACUAGAGAACACCACGCCCUCUCAGCUUUCUCAGAAGGUGCCCGAAAAACCAGCCAGUUCCGUCCCUCAUGAAGAUGAUUGGAGAUGCAAAGGCGACUUAAGGAGGAGUCUUGGGAAGAGGGAAAACCCAAGAUCACCGACGAUCCCUUCAGAGAGUGCCCUGCACGGUGACAGCUCACCAGCAUGCCCGACCAUUGCUCCUUCUUCAGGCACCCUGCAUGGUGACAGCUCGGGAGAACGCACAGGGAUUGCCCCUACUCCAGACGCCCUGCACGGCCACGAUGGCUCUCAAGCACACAUGGCCAUUACUCCUACUCCAGGCACUAUGUGCAGUGAUAGUCCGCCGUCACACGCGGCCGUUGCCCCUACUCCAGGGGCCCUGCAAGAUGACAGGAAACGCAACGCCAUUGCUCCUACUCCCGACACCCUGCACGUUGACAAGACACCAGCAUGCAGAGCCAUUGCUCCUACUCCAGGCGCCCUGGACGGUAAGAGCUCACCAGCGCGCACGUCCAUUAUUCCUUCUCCAGGCGCCCUGCAUGGUGACAGGUCACCAGUGCACACGGCCGUUGCUUCUACUCCAGGUGCCCUGAACGGGGACGGCUCUCAGGCGCACAUGGCCAUUGCUCCUACUCCAGGCACCAUGCGCAGUGACAGCUCAACAGCAUGCACGGCCAUUGCCCCAUCUGCAGGUUCCCUGCGAGGUGACAGGUCAUGGAAACACAAGGCCAUUGCUUCUACUCCAGGUGCCCUGCACCGUAGCGGGUCUGAGAGAUCACGGAAAUGCAAGGCCACUGCUCCUACUCCAGGUGCCCUGCGCCGACACAGGUCCAACAGGUCACGGAAAUACAAGGCCAUUGCUCCUACUCCAGACACCCUGCACGUUGACAGGUCACCAGCAUGCAGGGCCAUUGCUCCUACUCCAGGCACCCUGUACAUUGACAGGUCGCCAGCAUGCAGGGCCUCUGCUCCUUCUCCAGGCGCCCUGCAUGGUGACGGGUCACCAGUACACACGGCCAUUGCUUCUCCUCCAGGAGCCCUGCAUGGUGACGGCUCCCAGGUGCAAACGGCUAUUGGUCCUCCUCCAGGUGUCCUGCGCGAUGAUAAGUCACGGAAACGCAAGGCCAUUGCUCCCACUUCAGCUGCCCUGCGCGGUGGCAGGUCUGACAGGUCACGGAAAUGCAAGGCCAUUGCUUCUACUCCAGGCACCCUGCACGUUGACAGGUCGCCAGCAUGCAGGGCCUCUGCUCCUACUCCAGGCACCCUGGGUGGUGACAGGUCACCAGUACACAGGGCCAUUGCUUCUCCUGCAGGAGCCCUGCAUGGUGACGGCUCUCAGGUGCAAACGGCUAUUGCUCCUCCUCCAGGCGUCCUGCGCGAUGACAAGUCAUGGAAACGCAAGGCCAUUGCUCCCACUGCAGGCACCCUGUGCAGUGACAGCUCACGAACGUGCACAGCCUUUGCUCCUACUGCAGGCUCCCUGCAUGUGGACGGGUCACGAGCGCACCAGGCAAUUACUCCUACUUCAGGCACCCUGCACUGUGAUGGCUCAGGAGAAAGCAGGGCCAUUGCUCCUACUCCAGGCGCCCUACACGGUGACAGCUCUCAAGCACACAAGGCUAUUGCUUCUACUCCAGGCGCUCUGCGCGGUGACAGCUCACCAUUUCGCACAGCCAUUGCAUCUAUGCCAGGGGUCCUGCGCAGUACCAGGUCACGGAAACGCAAGGCCAUUUCUCAGACUCCAGGCACCCUGCGUGGUGACGGCUCAGGAGAACGCACGGCCGUUGCUCCUACUCCAGGCACCCUGCACGGUGACAGGUCACAGGCACAUAUGGCCAUCGAUCCUACUCCAGGCAUCCUGCGCAGUGACAGCUCACCAGCGUGCAUGGCCAUUGAUCUGACUCCAGGUGCCCUGGGCAGGGACAGGUCACGGGUGCUCAUGGCCAUUGCUCCUACUCCAGGUAGAAUGCAAGCACAGGUGUUGCAAAGCUCCCAAGCCUGCCAGGAUUCCCUGACACUUUCGUGGCAUGGUUGUGAGAAAAAGGGCAAGAAAAGGGCAAAGGCCUCAACUCUUAUGUCCCUGCCUCCCACAGUAACGGAGGAGGGUGCAUCUCGGCCGCCAGGUCUCACCAGCCCUGCGCCCCCUGCUCUGAAGGAAGAGACAAGGGAUAGCCGCCCAAAGAAAACCCUGAUUGCUUCCCCAGAAUGUUCUCCCUUCUCGGGGUACGUUCAGGACCCAGGAGAGGGUGCCUGGAAGCCAGGCUGGGCAGGCAUGGCCACAUCCUCUGGGUCCCAUCAGCACAGGCUGCCUUCUUCACUCUGGCUUGCCAAUAGAAAAAGGAAACCUCCGGGUACAGAUUUUCAGAGGCGACCUCAAGGACCUCAGACCCCUGCUGACGCUAAGCUUGCUAAUCCCGUCACCAUGGUUCAAAGGGCUGGCGGUAAACAGGAUGGGCAGCCCGCCAGCCUUGCUUUUCCACAGGAGCCAUGUCCCAUUGAAAGGGGAACGAUGGUCUGGUUCAAAUUUCAAGAUCAUCCAUUUUGGCCAGCAGUGGUCAAGAGUGUCAGCAACACAGACAAGACUGCAAGGGUGCUCCUGCUUGAGGCCAACCUGCACCAUGGAAAGCGGGGCAUUCAAGUUCCUCUUCGAAGGCUGAAGCACCUGGAUUGUAAGGAGAAAGAGACGCUGCUCAAGAGAGCCCAGAAGACCUACAAGCAAAGUGUCAACUGGUGCUUCUCACUGAUUUCCCACUACAGAGAAGGACUGGUCCGGGGUUCUUUCCGGGGCUCUUUCCUGGACUAUUACGCCGCAGACGUCAGCUACCCAAUCAGGAGAGCCAUCCAAGAGGGAGACCUGCAGGUUGACUUUCCAAAGGUGAAUUAUGGAGACCUGGAAGACUGGGAGGAGGAGACCUCCCUGGGCGGGAAGAGGCCUUGCAAGAAAAUCCUCCCAGACCGGAUGAGGGCCGCUCGGGAUCGAGACAACCAGAAGCUGGUGGACUUCAUUGUGACGAGAAAGGGGGCCGACCCCCACCUUCUGGACAUCUUGCAAGGCAGGAAGCAGUCCAGGUGGCUGACCGCGUUUCUGACCCCACACAGGGAUGUGCUCUGCGUUGAAACAUACCUGGAGGAUGACGAUCAGUUGGAAGUCGUGGCCAAGCAUUUGCAAGAAAUCUACAAGCAAGUUGACAAGACCAUGCUGACUCUGAUAAGGGAUGACAAAGUCAGUUUUGUUCUGGAAGUUCUUCUCCCGGAAGCCAUGAUUUGUGCCAUCGCCGCACUUGAUGGGCUGGAUUACAAGGCAGCAGAGGAGAAGUACCUGCGAGGGCCACCUGUGCAUUACCGGGAGAAAGAGCUGUUUGACAGAAAUAUCUUAAAGAAGGCAAGAAGGGAACCAGCAACCACCCGUAAAGCUAAUUAGCUCUCCCCCUGCACCCAUACCUUUGCAGGGAGCCGCCUCCUUUCUAGAAUUAAUGAGAAAGCCUCCUCCCUUCCCCAACGCGUGUAAGUAUGUUCUGGAUAUUCGAGACUUUGGGAAUGUGCACAAUUCAUCUGGGGCCCAUCUCUCGCGUCUGGUGGUGGCACAUUCAUCACCAUGUCUUCAUCGCAAACUCGUGAAGCGCUAUUUUCUUAAACGAUUGCAAACCCUUGCAUUUCCCUCAACGUCUUUGGAUGUGUAGUUGUCCUGAUAGGUUUGAAGGACAAGAACAUUGAUUUCCACAACAUGUCUUUUGACUGGACUUGGUACUUUCAUUCAGGACCUAUAUUCUUUUACACAAAAAGCCACUGGUAUCAGCUUUUAAACAACAAUAAUUUUUAAAGCCUAAUGUGUAUUUUUAUGGAAACAUCGGUGAGACUUUUCAUUCUUUUGGCGACACGUGGAUAGAAACUGUCGGAUUCCUUUUUCAGAUAAUUCCUGCCUUUUCCCUGCUACGCUUGUUUAUUUUUUGAGAAGUAGCCCCCAGAGUUGAAUCCCAUGAGAGAGACAUUUUCUCCUAUGUUAACACGACCUUCCGAUAUGUCUUCAAAAAUCAAGCUGCAGGCCAAACAUGAAGUUACCGAAUGGCUUGCACAUAGUCCAGAUGUGCAUGAGUGAAAUCUCAGUGUGCAGUGAGCGUCUUGUCAGCCUCAUGUAAGAUUGUCGCUCUGCAUUUCCCUGAAAUUCCACACCCUCUUUCAACGGCUGAACCGUGUCCUAGAACAGGCUUCCAGCUGUCUUCAUAACUGGCAGUGAUGGAUCUUCUCCCUCUAGCUGUCGGUCCCCUGUGGAGGGCAGUUACAGACAUCUCGUUCUCAGGCUGGCUACUCUCCACCUAUGUGACUGGCCCGACUGCUUAGGAGCCCAUCUACCUGCCCAUAAAUUGGAGGAAAGCCAGCUCCUUGUUCUGGAUCCAGCAUCCCCCAAGACUUGGCCAUUUGUCUCAAAGCCAGCAAAUUUCAUCUUCUGACUUAUUCACGGGCUAGCUCCAACAGGUCCCAACAAUCUAGACGCAGGCCGGUAAGCCAUUCCGGGCUGCUAGAGAAGGAGAGGCGCCAGGGCUGGGAGUUGGAAAAAUGGGUCUCAGAGGCAGCCUUCAUUCUGCUAAGCGGGACCGGCCCUUGGCAGAAUAAUAUUAAACAGAUGCAGUUCAGACCUAAGUUGUGAAGGCCACAGGUUGCUAGGCUAACUUGAAACAAGAUGGUUUUUGAGGAUAAAUGUUAUGGAAAAGCCAGUUUGUUGUUCAAACUUGAUGUUAAAAUAAAC